rnacentral:rRNA from 1 species
UGGGGAAUAUUGCACAAUGGGCGCAAGCCUGAUGCAGCCAUGCCGCGUGUGUGAAGAAGGCCUCGGGUUGUAAAGCACUUUCAGCGAGGAGGAAGGUGGUGAGCUUAAUACGCUCAUCAAUUGACGUUACUCGCAGAAGAAGCACCGGCUAACUCCGUGCCAGCAGCCGCGGGUAAUACGGAGGGUGCAAGCGUUAAUCGGAAUUACUGGGCGUAAAGCGCACGCAGGCGGUUUGUUAAGUCAGAUGUGAAAUCCCCGGGCUCAACCUGGGAACUGCAUUUGAAACUGGCAAGCUAGAGUCUCGUAGAGGGGGGUAGAAUUCCAGGUGUAGCGGUGAAAUGCGUAGAGAUCUGGAGGAAUACCGGUGGCGAAGGCGGCCCCCUGGACGAAGACUGACGCUCA